CUAUCCAUUAUAUAUACACACAUCAUAUACACACACAUUACUCUCUCUCCCCUCUCUCUCUCUCUCUCUCGACGGCACAGAGAUCUCGAUCAGUGAUGCCCUUGCCCCAAACAAGUCUUCACUUCUAAUCAAUCACCGGUUCUGUCUUCAAUUUCUGGAUUUUCGACUUUUGAAGAUUACCGAAGCAAGUUUAUCUUGAAAACAUCAUGGCUAUUGAUGCUGUUGUGUCGGAAUCAGCCCAUGUGUCUGUUGAGAAUGUGAAGAAAGAGAGCAGUGCGAAUGGGCAUGUUGGUGAAAAUGAAUCCGGUCCUCACGUGAGUGAAUUAUAGUCUAUGUUAAAAAACACAGUGCCAUACUAAAGAUAUGAUGCCAAUUAUAACAACACUAACUGAUAUUCUUUGCCAUUAAGUGCAACAUCUAGUGAACCUUCUACAUAAUAAUAACAAUCUUCUCUUGGUUUUAAAAA